rnacentral:rRNA from 1 species
UGGGGAAUAUUGGACAAUGGGCGCAAGCCUGAUCCAGCCAUGCCGCGUGAGUGAUGAAGGCCCUAGGGUUGUAAAGCUCUUUUGUCCGGAAAGAAAUGGCUCUGGUUAAUACCUGGGGUCGAUGACGGUACCGGAAGAAUAAGGACCGGCUAACUACGUGCCAGCAGCCGCGGUAAUACGUAGGGUCCAAGCGUUAAUCGGAAUUACUGGGCGUAAAGCGUGCGCAGGCGGUUGUGCAAGACCGAUGUGAAAUCCCCGAGCUUAACUUGGGAAUUGCAUUGGUGACUGCACGGCUAGAGUGUGUCAGAGGGGGGUAGAAUUCCACGUGUAGCAGUGAAAUGCGUAGAGAUGUGGAGGAAUACCGAUGGCGAAGGCAGCCCCCUGGGAUAACACUGACGCUCAUGCACGAAAGCGUGGGGAGCAAACAGGAUUAGAUACCCUGGUAGUCCACGCCCUAAACGAUGUCAACUAGUUGUUGGGGAUUCAUUUCCUUAGUAACGUAGUGCUAACGCUGUGAAGUUGACCGCCUGGGGAGUNCGGUCGCAAGGAUUAAAACUCAAAGGAAUUGACGGGGAUCAAUAGCUGUUUCCUG